AACCCAUGAUGAGGACACUUCCGUAAAAUAUCCUUGAACUAUUCCCAUGUCUCAAACAAUGAUUCUAGCUCCAUCUGAACAUAUGAAGAGAUCUUAUUUUGAAGCU